UUGCAGAGAACUCGAAAGGUGCAUCGUGACAUGCUGAAAGCUCGGGUUGGGCCAGAGCCUACGCCAGUACCCCUGCAGUUAAAACCUACCUUUCCUUCAGGGGGACUGGAUGACUCUUUGGAGGAUGAUUUGUGCUUAUUGGUCCCCGAUACUUCAGUACCAUCCACCUCUGCAGCUCCACAGGUCGCUUCAGGACAUGGUCACCCUGCUCAAACUUCUGGGACAGCUCCUCUACCCUUGCGUCGCACUGUUCGUUUUGGGGCUGGUCAGCACUCGAAUGUCCAUCACCUUCCUCGACCUGUGGGUCAUACUGCAGGAUCUAGUCAGCCAGUCUCCAACUCCCAGUUAGCAGUUUUUCGUCCUUGGUGCUGAGGUUUGUAGAUUCAUCGUCGGGGCGACGAUGCAACACAGGGGGGUAGAAUGUGGUGGGAUGGUGUUCCACCCUCCCAACUACACACACCAGGUGUAGUGACUGAUUGGGGGGCGGGGCAGAUAGCUUUAAAGCUGAGCAGUCCGCUGCGAGGUGCGUGUGCUUUGUUUCCUUACCGUGUGUCGGCUGCCCAAGUGGCUGGUGUGCUCGAUCCACUCAUCCAAAAUACGUUGCGCGGCUGGCGUUGGCGGCUGCAGUUGGAGGUUGGUGCGGCGAGCGGCUUCCGUCCGGCCCUCGCCUGCUGAUCCGCUCCCUCCCUGGUCGGCUGUGUCACCACAUCUGGGAUUCUUCCGGAGUUGCAGCGCUUGGACGCUCCUGCUGUCUUGUCUGUCUUGCCGGUUUUGUUUGGGCCGCUCUCGGCGGAGCCUGCUGACGCUUGGGC